GCGGGGAGCAAACAGGAUUAGAUACCCUGGUAGUCCACGCAGUAAACGAUGAGUGCUAGUUGUCGCAAUUUAGUUGCGGUGGCGAAGCUAACGCGUUAAGCACUCCGCCUGGGGAGUACGGUCGCAAGACUAAAACUCAAAGGAAUUGACGGGGACCCGCACAAGCAGUGGAGCAUGUGGUUUAAUUCGAUGGUACGCGAAAAACCUUACCAACCCUUGAAUCUCGAUAGCAGGCUAAGAAAUUAGCUCUCGGUUUGGCCGGGUCGAAGACAGGUGCUGCAUGGCUGUCGUCAGCUCGUGUCGUGAGAUGUUAGGUUAAGUCCUUAAACGAGCGCAACCCUCAUCCUUAUUUGCCAUCGGGUUAUGCCGGGAACUAUAAGGAAACUGCCAGCGACAAGCUGGAGGAAGGUGGGGACGAUGUCAAGUCAUCAUGGCCCUUAUGGGUUGGGCUACACACAUGCUACAAUGGUGGUUACAACAAGACGCAAUGGAGCAAUCCGGAGCAAAUCUCUAAAAGCCAUCUCAGUUCAGAUUGAGGGCUGCAACUCGCCCUCAUGAAGUUGGAAUUGCUAGUAAUCGCGGAUCAGCACGCCGCGGUGAAUACGUUCUCGGGUCUUGUACACACUGCCCGUCAAGCCAUGGAAGCUGUUUCUACCUUAAUAGAGUGAGCUAACCGCAAGGAGGUAGCUCUACACGGUAGGAGGGGUGACUGGGGUU
rnacentral:rRNA from 1 species